rnacentral:snoRNA from 1 species
AUCCUUCCUAGCCAUGGAAGAGCAUAUUCUUGUGUAUUGGCAAAGCUGUCACCAUUUAAUUGGUAUCAGAUUCUGACUGGCACAAAUAACAUUC